rnacentral:rRNA from 1 species
ACUCCUACGGGAGGCAGCAGUGGGGAAUAUUGCACAAUGGGCGCAAGCCUGAUGCAGCCAUGCCGCGUGUGUGAAGAAGGCCUUCGGGUUGUAAAGCACUUUCAGUCGUGAGGAAGGUAGUGUAGUUAAUAGCUGCAUUAUUUGUACGUUAGCGACAGAAGAAGCACCGGCUAACUCCGUGCCAGCAGCCGCGGUAAUACGGAGGGUGCGAGCGUUAAUCGGAAUUACUGGGCGUAAAGCGCAUGCAGGUGGUUGUUAAGUCAGAUGUGAAAGCCCGGGGCUCAACCUCGGAAUAGCAUUUGAAACUGGCAGACUAGAGUACUGUAGAGGGGGUAGAAUUUCAGGUGUAGCGGUGAAAUGCGUAGAGAUCUGAAGGAAUACCGGUGGCGAAGGCGGCCCCUGGACAGAUACUGACACUCAGAUGCGAAAGCGUGGGAGCAAACAGGAUUAGAUACCCCUGGUAGACUGUCA